rnacentral:rRNA from 12 species
CACUUUCAGCAACGGAUGUCUCGGUUCCCAUAACGAUGAAGAACGCAGCGAAAUGCGAUACGUAAUGCGAAACGCAUCAGUAGUGAGUCAUCGAAACUUUGAACGCAACUUGCACUUCCCUUUGGGGAGUAUAUCUAUUGGAGUGUCU